UAUCCAUUGUUUCUUGUCCUGCCCUCUGGUGCUUUGGAAAAUAAGUGGAUCCCUUCCUCUUUGUGUCAGCCUCUCAAAUACUGGAUAUGAUGUUGACGUGAUGAAAUGGUACAACACUUGUAUUCUCCUGAACUAACCCUUGUAACCCUCGACUCAACUUCACUACCACAUAAAGAAAGAAUAACAAUAUGUUUAUCAGUCCAUGUAUAUAUGAGUCAGUCAAAGAAGCAGAAGCCUUUAGGAAUGGGCAGUUGUACUGCACAGAAUCAUUUCCAUGAGAUGAAAAACAUGAAGAGUGUCUGUUUAAUAGGCAAAUGUGUGUGAAUAUAACAUAAUUAAUUCAGUAUUGUGAUACAGUAUUGUAUAAAUAUGAUAAAUAAAUAUAUGUCAAUUGUUAGGAAUAAAUUAUAUCAAGGGCUCAGGGUAUUUCAGCCUAUCUGUCACCAGAAGAAUUUCCUAAAACAGAACAAAGUGGGAUGUGGUCUGAUGUGAGAGAAGCUUAUAAAACAAACAUCUAGUACCGAAAAUGGGCUGAGUCCAGUUAUGAACUGGGAAAUUGUCCCAAUGCAUCGAAGCAGUUGGGCAGCAGCUUGAAAUGCUGGUGGUUGCUCUGUUCUAGAUGCUAUUCCUUCUUUCUAGAUAGCAGAUUUGGAGCUGACCUAUUAUUACAAGGUGGAAAGAAUUCCAACAGACACAUUUUCCCUUCCUUUCUAGAGAGCUUUUAUUGUAUGAUUAGUAUAUUUGAAAUGAAAAUCAUAGUUUUUAGAUAAAGAGUAUUUCAUUUAAAAAAUAAUAAUUUAAACUCUAUUUGUAUUACCUAAAAAAAAAAAUAAUGUCCAUCCACUUAGUUUUUCAAGAUCUAUAACUGAAACUGUGUUUGACUUUUUUAGAACAGCAAUACAUUAUCAAUUUCAACUUCCUAUUUCACAUAAAUCUGAUCAGAACUUUAUUAGUAAGUGACCAGAAGUCAAAUAUAAUAAAUAAAAUCUGAUACAUAAUAAAACAUUCAGUGAUUUUUCAAAUGUGAGCAAGGAUACUGCUGCAGAUGCUCAUUGCUGUAUUGUAACGGUGACCUUCUCACAAGCAAUCCAUAUUGCUAAGUAGCAGAGUUUUGUACUGGAUUAGGUGACUUUAGGACUUCUGACACGUGAGAGAUAGCUGACAUAAUUUUUCUCAGUAUGACUGGGAAAAUAUUUGAGUAGUUCAAUCUUAAACUGGAAUGAAAGGCAGAGUCCAGAAAAAUGCACUCCAUGGAUUUUAUCAUACUUAAUCCAGAGUCACCUUAUAGGGUGGCAUAAAAUUUUAAUAAAAUAAAUAAAAUGUCAAUGAGAUGUUUGUUUCUGGCUUGCAUGAUAUAUAAAUCUACCCAUUAUGGCUUAGCAUUACAUAUAAGCCAUUAUGUCUGGUUAAAUACAUCCUGAUUAAAAUAUUUUGGCUAAA